rnacentral:piRNA from 1 species
UAGCUGCAAGAUUAUGAGUUGGAUUGCUUC